CGCAACACCAGGCCAGGAGUCCACUUUUAUACCUGCAUUAGUCCGUUUUCACACUGCUAUAAAGAACUACCAGAGAAUGAGUAAUUUAUAAAGAAAAGAAGUUUAAUUGACUCACAGUUCACAUGGCUGGGGAGGCCUCAGGAAACUUACAGUCAUGGGCGGAAGGAGAAGUAAGGCAUGUCUUACAUGGCAGCAGGAGAGAGAGAACGGGGAAGAGCCGUACACUUACCAGACAACCAGAUCUCGUGGGACUCUAGCAUGAAAGCAGCAUGGGGGAAACCGCUCCCAUGAUCCAACCGCCUCCCACCAGGUUUGUCCCUUGACAUGUGAGGAUUACAAUUCAGAUUAUCAUUUGAGAUGAGAUUUGGGUGGGGACACAGAGCCCAACCAUAUCAAUACCCAAAGUGCUGUUUCCUGUGGAUGGUCCAGGGGUGGCCAAGACUCCAGCUGGAGAGGGGUGGGUUAACAGCACCAGGAGGAGCCCACCCACGUGUGCAGCAACCAGUGUUCCCCAGUGAUCCCCCACCUGGCCCCAGCAUCAGAGAAUUGGAAGGAACCUGGGAAGGCAAGUCUCCUACAGCCUUUAAACUCGUGUUUCUGAAUUAAAUUCAUGUAGGAGCCAACCUUCCAGUUAAAAGCUCAGGUCCUGGAGCUAAACUUGUGUUCAAAUCCAGUCUCCAGCACUAACUUGUUCAUUAGCUGGGUUCUUACUCUCUCUGCCUCAAGUUUCCUGGGGACAGUGAGUGGCAAGGACCCACAGCCUCAGAGUUGUGCCAGAACUCAGUGUUAGAAAUCUCCAGAGAGAAGCCAGCGCUGUGGGAACCUGGGGAGCAAUGCCCCAUCUCCUGGGGGCAGCCACUGCCCAGCACAUGCUCUGCUGCCAUGCAGAAAUGUGGGCUCAGGAUGGCCGUACCUUCUGAUUUUUCAGCUGGAGGUUUCUGUGAAAUGCUUUGGUUUCUGCAUUUAAAGUAAAUUCAACUUAAAAAAAAAAAAAAGUAAGUCUAAUUGUUCAGACUAGUCCCUCUCAAGCCACCUGAUGACAGACAACUGAGGCUGUGAGUGACCUCAGACAAGACCAGCAAAAGAACCACCCAGCUGAGCCCAGCCCACAUUGCAGAAUUGUGAGGAAAUAAAUGGAGGUUGUGUUAAGCCAUACAUUGUUGAGUGUUUGUUAUACAACAAUAGAUAACUGAUACACAGCCCUUAUUAUGAUCUUUCAUCAUCUUUGUUUAUUUGUUUACUUUUUUGUCUCUCUCCCCUGCCCACCCCUUUCCCCACACACUCACUGGAAUAUCAGCUCCAUCAGCCCAUGGACCUUGUCAGUCUUGUUUCUUUUCCAUUUCCCAGUGCUCAUACAAUGCCCAGUAGGCGCUCAAUAAAUAUCUUUUGAAGAGUGAAUAAAUAAAUGUUUAGGUCAACAAACAUUUGCGGUGC
rnacentral:lncRNA from 1 species